UUGGCUGGAGACGUUUGCGCCAACAACAAAACAUUGAAGCACUUUCAAGCAGGAUGGAAAGAGGACAAAGUCGUGCUGCAGCCCCUUCUUAUUUAGCAUGGUCCAUCUUCAACAUCAUAUGUUGCUGUCUGCCUCUUGGGAUCGCAGCGGUUGUCUAUUCCAGCAAGGUACAAAAUGCCAACGCCUCCGGGAACUCGAUGGCAGCUGCUGAAGCGUCAAAGACGGCAAAGAUCCUCAAUAUCACCGCGCUGGUGUGUGGAUUAAUUAUACUGGCCAUAUUUAUCACGCUCAAAAUCGUGUUAGUCAAGGAUGAUUGACAGCGUGGGGGGGAAAUGGUGAUGGCGGCAGUUGGUGCAAUUGUCUUUAUGUACUGUGGACUUUUGCCUUUAUAUUACAUCUAAAUCUAUUUGCAUACUGUGUGUUAACUCUUUUUUAUGGAAACGAUAGUGUAUAAUAAAACUGCUGUCAUCAAGUUUU